CUCAAAGAACUCAAAUCACACAGCUACAUUCAAAGGAAAUGUGGAACUGAAGUCAUGCUGGAAAGGGAGGUGAAGUCUUCUGAAAUAAAGACUAGUCCAUGCAUAGGUUUUCAGGAGCUCUUUGUGGACAUUUUCACUGAUAUGUUCAUGCUCGUGAAGGUAGAUCUGAGCCUUAAAAACCUAAUUAGCACAAGUGACCAAGUCAUCUUCAUGAGCUUGGAGCUUCAUGAGAGUCAGGUACCUCUGGAGUUUACUAAUAAGCUGCAGAUAUUGCCUGUCUUCCCAAGCCAUGGGAAAGCAGGUGGCAUCUGAGCUCAAUGAAUGUGUACCUCAACACGGAUAUUGCUGGUUGUUUCUCUCCCCACUCUCUCGUUGUUGUUUUUCUAUGGAAACUGUGCCCAGGACUUUUCCCUCCAGCUGUAAAUCUUCCCCUAAUUCCAAAUCUAAUUGCAUUAAAGGCCCAUUUAUAUCUUCCCUUCCCUUCCCUUCCCUUCCCUUCCCUUCCCUUCCCUUCCCUUCCCUUCCCUUCCCUUCCCUUUCCUUUCCUUUCCUAGCUCUGCCCCUUGUGAUUUCUCAUCCUUAAGACCUUCCCUUCCCUUCUCUCACUGGGUCACAGGUUCAGCAGCAACCUAAGCUGUGCUGCAUCAUCCCCACUGGGAACCUCAUUCAGCAUCCCUUUAUGUCCAUGUCUUUGCCCUGUAUGUUCCUGUCUGCAGAGCUCAUCAUAAUCCCUACAGUAGCACAAGGAGUUAAUACUCUCAGGCCUUCCUUGUCAAUGUCUCCAGGUGAGGGUGCUUUCUGAGAACAAAGCACUGGCCCCAAGUCCCUGCCUGUACGAUGUUACAGCUUGUCAGAGUGAAUUUUGGCUAUUUCUGCUGCUUCAUUCAGAGCACUCAGUUCUUCCUGCAUGGCCCACCCCAGACUGUGCUACCAUUAAAUGUCACUGUCAUGUUCCACCCUUUUUUUGCUUGUGUCAAUGUGAACAGUAGAAUGGUUUUCCUCCGUGAUCCAGUCAGAUCAAUAUUCAUACAACAAAAAGCACUUUUCAAAUACGUCUGCAGAUUACCUCCCCAGUGGCUAUGAAAGAGAAUAGGGCAUAUCGGAGAGAAUCCAAGGAGAACAUAUUUGAAAGCCAAAUGGAGGCAGGAUACCCAAAAGCACUGAGGGAAUGAGUUACUUGGAGGAGCACUGGAGAGAGACGUGGGGAAUCACAGGGUAAAGGGCACAGUAAGAGCUUGAAAAGCAGAUCAGAGCAGUAAGGCUGAGGGCACCACAGGCAGCACGGGGCACCAUGCUGAAGGCAGGUUGUGGAUUGUGGAAGAUCAGGCAGGACUGAACAAAGCCACAGGUCUUAGAAGAAACUGUGUAGAACCCUGUGCAGAGAGGGAAAGGAUUGCUGAACCUAAGAAGAAACACAGGAACAGAGGUAGAUGUCAGAAAGCAAGAACGAUGUGACUGAGGAUACAUUGAAUAAGCUCGAAGAAUUACGGCCCAAUAUGAGGCGAGUAUCUGCCAUACAAUCAAUUCUGCAUUGUGAGCAGAGCUUCUCCAAGCACGUCAGCGGUGUUUGAUACAAAAGCAGU
ensembl:lncRNA